rnacentral:rRNA from 1 species
AGGUCCGGCUGGGGAGCGGAACGGCAUGGGAGGGCCGGCCGCAGCGGGUGACAGCCCCGUACGCGAACCCAGACCGGACGGCGCGACGCGGUCCCUGAGUAGGGCCGGGCACGUGAAACCCGGUCCGAACCUGGGUGGACCACCAUCCAAGCCUGAGUACUACCCUGUGACCGAUAGCGCACCAGUACCGUGAGGGAAAGGUGAAAAGCACCCCGGGAGGGGAGUGAAACAGUACCUGAAACCGUGCGCCCACGAGCAGUCGGAGCAACUUUCAGUUGUGACGGCGUGCCUUUUGUAGAAUGAGCCAGCGAGUCGCUGGCGCGGGGCGAGGUUAACCGAAAGGGAGCCGGAGCGAAAGCGAGCCUUAACAGGGCGACUUGAGUCCCGCGCCGCGGACGCGAAGCCGGGUGAGCUAUCCGUGGGCAGGCUGAAGCGGGGGUAAGACCCCGUGGAGGGCCGAACGCACGUCGGUUGAAAACGGCGGCGAUGACCUGCGGAUAGGGGUGAAAGGCCAAUCAAACCCGGAGAUAUCUCGUUCUCCCCGAAAUAGCUUUAGGGCUAGCGUCGCGCGUUCACCGCCGGAGGUAGAGCACCGGAUGGACGAGGGGGCUUCGCCGCCUACCGAAUCCAACCGAACUCCGAAUGCCGGCGGCCCAGAGCGCGGCAGUCAGAGCAUGUGGGCUAAGCUGUGUGCUCGAGAGGGAAACAGCCCGGACCGCCCGCUAAGGUCCCCAAGUUCCAGCCGAGUGGCAAAGGAUGUGCGUCCGCCCAGACAACCAGGAUGUUGGCUUAGAAGCAGCCAUCCAUUCAAAGAGUGCGUAACAGCUCACUGGUCGAGUGGACAUGCGCCGACAAUACACGGGGCUAAGCUGGACACCGAAGCGGCGGGAUUUUAAUUCAUUAGAAUCGGUAGGGGAGCUUCCCAUGGGCGGAGAAGCCGGAGGGCGACCGACGGUGGAGCGCAUGGGAGUGAGAAUGCUGGCAUGAGUAGCGAGAGACGAGAGAGUAACUCGUCCGCCGUGAACCCGAGGUUUCCUGGGCAAGGCUAAUCCUCCCAGGGUCAGUCGGGGGCUAAGGCGAGGCCGGUAGGCGUAGCCGACGCGCAGCAGGCAGACAUUCCUGCACCGCGCACGCGGCGCUACGACCGACGGGGCGACGGAUGGGGGUGGCUCGGCGGGGUUCUGGACGUCCCCGUGAUGGAGCGCGGCCCGCGGACCAGGGAAAUCCGGUCCGCAGAAGGGCGAGGCUCCGGACGAAGCGACUGAGCGAAGCGAGUGAGCCCGAGGUCCCUAGAAAAACCCCUAGGCAGGCGCGUGCGCGCCCGUACCGCAAACCGACACAGGUGGGUGGGUAGAACAUACCGAGGCGAUCGGGUCAACCAUGGUCAAGGAACUCGGCACAAUGGCCCCGUAACUUCGGGAGAAGGGGUGCCCGCGCGUACGUGAACCGGCUUGCCCGGGGAGCGGAGGCGGGCCGCAGUGGAGAGGCCCAAGCGACUGUUUACCAAAAACACAGGACUCUGCAGAAGCCGCAAGGCGACGUAUAGGGUCUGACGCCUGCCCGGUGCCGGAAGGUCACGCGGAGGAGUUAGCCGUUAAGGCGAAGCCCCGAAGCCAAGCCCCGGUAAACGGCGGCCGUAACUAUAACGGUCCUAAGGUAGCGAAAUUCCUUGUCGGGUAAGUUCCGACCUGCACGAAAGGCGCAACGACUUGGGCGCUGUCUCGACCAUGGACCCGGUGAAAUUGCACUGGUCGUGAAGAUGCGACUUACCCGCGGAAGGACGGAAAGACCCCGUGAACCUUCACUGCAGCUUGGCAUUGGCCGCUGGUCCCGCGUGUAGAGGAUAGGCAGGAGGCUAAGAUCCGGAGGCGCCAGCCCCCGGGGAGCCGCCCUUGGAAUACUGCCCUCGCGCGACCGGCGUCCUAACCCGAGGCCGUCAACCGGCUCGGGGACCGUGCCAGGCGGGCAGUUUGACUGGGGCGGUCGCCUCCUAAAGGGUAACGGAGGCGCGCGAAGGUCCGCUCGGGACGGUCGGCAACCGUCCUUUUGAAUGCAAGAGUACAAGCGGGCUUGACUGCGAGGCCCACAAGCCGAGCAGGUGCGAAAGCAGGCUCUAGUGAUCCGGCGGCCCCGAGUGGGUGGGCCGUCGCUCAACGGAUAAAAGGUACUCCGGGGAUAACAGG